rnacentral:rRNA from 1 species
CCUACGGGUGGCAGCAGUGAGGAAUAUUGGUCAAUGGCCGAGAGUCUGAACCAGCCAAGUCGCGUGAGGGAAGACGGCCCUACGGGUUGUAAACCUCUUUUGUCAGGAGCAAAGAGAGUCACGUGUGACCCAUUGAGAGUACCUGAAUAAAAAGCAUCGGCUAACUCCGUGCCAGCAGCCGCGGUAAUACGGAGGAUGCGAGCGUUAUCCGGAUUUUUUGGGUUUAAGGGGUGCGCAGGCGGAGGUGCAAGUCAGCGGUCAAAUUGCCGGGCCCAACCCCGUACUGCCGUUGAUACUGCAUGCCUUGAGUACGCGAGAGGUAUGCGGAAUGCGUGGUGUAGCGGUGAAAUGCAUAGAUAUCACGCAGAACUCCGAUUGCGAAGGCAGCAUAC